GUAAGAUUAAUUACUUUGUUUUCUGUUGCAUGUUUCUCCUUUUCAACCUUGGCCAAUGUUAGCUCAAGGUCAUCGAUAUCUUUCUUCAGUUCAGAACAUUCAUCUUCCAGUUUCCUCUUCUUAGCAGUCAGUUCAGCAUUAGAUUCCUCCUCAUCUUCCAGCCUUUCAUUAAUUUCCUUAACCUUUGCUUCCAGUUGAAUCUUAGCUUUAAUGAGUCCCUCACAUCUUUCUUCUGCAUCUGACACAGCCUCAGAUUCCUGUGGAAAAGUAUUUUGAUGACAACUAUUUCUUUAUGGUUAAAAAUAUUGCAAAAUUACAGAUGAACUACAUAUUCGUACUUCUAGUGUAUGGAAAAAUCAUUUUGAAAUGGUCUUACAUUUACACUGGCAGAUUUAGCAGAAUAUGUUAUGUAGUUCAGUAUAUUUUAAAAUAUUAUGUAUACGUUAAAAAGGUUUUCUGAACUGUCAACUACCUAACUGUAAUGUUAUAGCUGUUUUAAGUAACUUACAGAUGCAACUUGGAGCUGUAGAUCAUUCUUUUCUUGGAGGAUGCCGACCAUUUUCUCCUCUAGUUCCUUUCUCUUGGCUUCUGACUUCUGAAGAGCCUCCUUUGUCUUCUCAAACUCUUCUUUCAUGUUGGCCAUUUCCUUCUCAGAUUCUGCACUCUUCAGAAGAGGCUUGAUCUUGAAGUACAGCUUCAUCCAUGGCCAAUGUUUGACGUUCAUGAAUGAGCGGACAUUGUACUGGAUACAGAAGAUUGAUUCCCUAAAAUAAAUUUAAUAGAUUUGAUUUAUCAUAUGAACCCAACAUUUAUUGUAUAGGUAAUAUAUUUGUAUGUUUAUAAUAUAGGGGUGUAAAGUACCUCCUCUCCAUCAUCCUCUGAAACUCUACUCUCAUGAGGUAUCCUCUGCACCUAGCCUGCGUACGAGUGAUCAGCUGAGCUAAUUUGUCAUCUCGCAUCUCUUCAAGGGUACCCAAGAGACCAGCUUUGAAGAAGACCUUUGGUUAUAACAAUCAAAACACAUUGUUUCAGUAACAUUCUGGGAUGUGUAUAAAAUUAUAAUAUUUACAAUGUAUUAUACAAUUUAAGAAUAGCUUAAAUUAGCUGAGAUUAUAUUUUAUAAUCCUAGCAAUUAUUAGACUCCAGUUACACUAUUUACCUUGGUGUGACCAAAUCUAUACUGAGUAUGGUCAACAUCAAUGGAUCCAAGUAGUUUCUCUGAAGCUUUCUUGCUGUCAAUAAAUGUACCCUCUGGGAUAGCACUGGCAUUGAGGACCUUGUAACUGUUUUUAAAAUGGAGAAAUGCAAACAUUUGUUGUGUCUUACAUUUAUUGUCUAAAUACUCUUAAAUAUGCUACAUUUAAGUUACCAAAAAUCUUACAUGCUGCUUAAAGUUAAGAGUGAGUGAAUAACUCAUACCGUUGUUUGAAGUCACCAUAAAGAAUUCUGCUUGGGAAUCCUUUCCUGCAAAUUCUGAUUCCCUCCAGGACACCAUUACACCUGAGCUGAUGCAUAACCAGGUAGUGGUCCAUCACACCUGGUAAAACAGCUCAAUCAAAACUCCAGUAUUUAUGAAAUUGCUUAAAUUAUGGCAGCACCUUUUGAUGUAGAGUAAUAGAAACAUAUUUAUUUUUACUCACCUGGAGUUUUUGUCUCAUUGGGGAUCAGACAACGUACAAAGUGAGGAUGAGUGCUUCUCAGGUUGGUCAUCAGUUUGUUCAGAUUCUCCUGUAGAUUGAAGAUAUUAUGUAAUGUCAUCAUAUAUGUAUUGUCAACAUCUUCCACAAUUGCAAAAAUAUAGGAACGGGUGGGGAAACUUUAAUAUUGCAAUUACCCUAAAAAGAGCAGACACAGUCUGGAAAGAAGAGCCCUUCUUCUUACCACCCUUCUUGCCACCAGUUUCUGAAGGAGAAAUAUUUUUUUAUUUAGUAGGAUAAGUAGUUUAUGAUAUCACCCUAUUAUUACAAUAUUACAGAGAAGCAAUGCUAUGGACAUGCUGACAUGGAAAAAAAAAAAAACAUUGUGUCCUCAUCAAGAUUACCUACCUUGGUCUGCAGCAUAAGAGGAGUACAGGAAUGAGAGCAACUUCACAGAAGAUUUCUGGUACAGCCCAAUGACGGUUUCAUUCAGUGGAUCCUUGUUCUUGUCCAGCCAGCCACUGAUGUUGUAAUCCACUGUUCCAGCAUAGUGGACAAGGGAAAAGUGAGCCUCGGCUUUGCCUUUACCAGGCUUUGGUUUCUGGAAGUUGUUGGACUUGCCAAGAUGCUGAUCAUACAGUUUAUUGGUGAAUGAAGUGUCAGUUGCCUUGGGGAACAUGCACUCCUCUUCAAGGAUGGAGAAGAUGCCCAUUGGCUAUUGAUUAUACCAUGAAAACAGUCAAUGAAUGGAGCAAUACUUUAACACAUAUAUUAAUUUAUCCAUUUCUCUAUGGGAAUAUGUUUAAAUAAAUUGUAUAUAUAAUGUUGUUUUGGUUUUGAUUUGUAAUUAUUUUUAACUUCAAUAUCAUCUGAACGUUUUUUCUUGUGCUACAAGUGUUGCUGUGUUUUGAAAGAUAACUUCUAGUGAACAUUAUUCUUUACCUUCUCAAUAAGCUCAAUGCAGGCCGCCAAGUCCAUGCCGAAGUCAAUGAACUCCCAUUCGAUACCUUCCUUCUUGUAUUCCUCUUGUUCUAAGACGAACAUGUGGUGAUUGAAGAACUGUUGCAGUUUCUCAUUGGUGAAGUUGAUACACAACUGCUCCAAACUGUUGAACUAAUUAAGAAAAAAUACAAAUCAUACAUAUAAGUAUCAUAUAAUGUCACAUUUUACAUAUCUCAUGCAUGAUUUGCCACAGACAUAUUAUGUCAUAAUUCUUACGUCAAAGAUUUCAAAGCCGGCAAUGUCCAAGACACCAAUGUAGUGCUGUCUUGGCUGUUUGGUGUCCAACUGCUGGUUAAUACGAAUGACCAUCCACAAGAACAUCUUCUCAUAGACUGACUUACUCAGGGCACCAACUGAGUUGUUAACCUUUCAACAAAUAAAAAAUUUGAAAUCAUUACAAGCAAUGAUGACUUUUUCACUCAUGUUUGGCAGAUAUUGCACUGAAAUUACCUGUUGCACAGUUUGACCUUUGGUCACAAAUUCAUUCCCAACUUUGACUCUUGGGUAGCACAAGGCCUUCAGUAGAUCGGCAGAGUUGAGACCCAUUAGGUAGGAAAUUUUGUCAGCCACUGAAAGAUAGUUAAAAAAAAAUACAUUGUUAUUCCCUGUUUGUGAAGCUACAGUAAGGCCACUUACUGUAUCUAAGGGUGAUGCUUAGAUUUCCCAAGUUAAAACCUUACCUGAAAACAACAUCAUUCAGUUUUUCUUGAAUUACUAACCCUUCACCCAUGAUAUAAUUUACAUAACAGAAAUGAAUUGUUACAGCUGAUAAUGAAGGGUAAGAAAAUGUGACAAUUAAAACACUUUGGGAAGAGGGAUAUCUUUACUGUUAUUUGAAUGCACUGAUAAUUCACUGUAUGUCCAUGAGUAAUCCAUCGGGUAAUGUCCUAUUUUUACCUUCUGUGCCAUCUGGCUCAGCCUGUUCCUCUCUUUGUUUCUGCUUGAAUUUCAUGUUGCCAUGGUGCAUAACCGCUCCCGUCAGUUUGUAGAUUCCUAGUUUCUCAUCAGCAUUGAAACCGAGGAUGUCAAUGGCUUCCUGUGAAAACAUGGAGUUGGGGAAAUAUUUAUCAUGGUGCAGAAUGGAAACAUGACAUUGGAACAUACAUGAAGUUGAAGGAACGUACAUCAGUGGCCAUCAGUUCAUCUUGGUCAUUAAUGCUGGCCACUGUGAUUUCACCUUGGCUGACAAGUGGGAAGUCAUAUGGGUUAGUUGAAAUCAGCAGCUGGUCUGUAAAAUAUGAAACAUGAAACAUAUAUUUUUGCAAAUUCAAACCCCCCACUUCACAUCUUUGUUAUUUAUUUCUUUUUUGGUAUGAAACAAACAAAAGAAAACAGUAAUGACAAAGACAAUUGUAAGUAGCAAGUUCAAAAUCAAGUAUAUAUGAAGUAGAUAAUUGUAUAAAAAGUAUCUGUCCCCAAAGUUAUGUGACUGAGUUCAUAACAUUAUUUGUUUAUCACUCUAAAUGUUCCAUUACACCUAUUAAUUACUUUCUUAGAAUAUAUAUGGAAAUGUUUGUUUACCGAUCAACUCUGGUUUCUUGUUGGACAUGACUUGGUAGAAGAUAUGGUAGCUCCUCUCAGCUGACAACUGGAAUGUGACUCUGGAUUUUUCCAGAAGAUCUAAUUAAAUAAAUAUAAGUGUUAGGUGAAAAUUACAAUUAAUUUCCUCAAGGUGUUCUUAAUUCUUUAACUUACAUGUUUCAAUGUCUGCAGAGGAUAGUUUUCCUGUUGCACCAAAGUGAAUUCUGAUGAAUUUACCCUAUACAUAUCAAACAUAAAUAAUCGAAUUAAAACAGAAAAAUGAUUGAUGUCAGAUGUACUUGUUUACGCAAGAAGCAGGACGUUUAUUGCCAUUUGCACUGAAAUGUGAAAUGUUGUGCUAUGAUCGCUAGACUGCAUUAGAAACAUCAUGUCUGUAUUUGUGGCUAUCUGGACAACUAUAACGUGGGUGUUGUACUGUGUCUGAUGUACAACAAUGAUUAGUGAUCUGUUUAAAGAGUCAGUGUUCAAAUGCAAAGAAUUUUUUUUUUAAAGUGUCUUUCAAUUAAUGAAAAUGAAGAUGCUCUGUAAUCUACAUAAAUCAGGAAGUUGAAAUGACAAUGUUAAAACUGUAUAAAAAAAUCACAAUCUAUUCAUGUGAAUUAAGAUGGUUUGUGAGAGCGACGAUUUACAAAAAAAAAUAAAAAAUGUUUCUAUCUUGCAAUGACGGUGUAGCCGACGUGGUCAGACUUACGAAACGGGAUGAGUUGUCGUUCCUCACAGUCUUGGCAUUGCCAAAGGCUUCCAGCAGAGGGUUAGCCUGGAUGAUUUGAUCUUCCAGAGUGCCCUAGAAAAAGGAAUAUUAUAUACUCAUUAAAUAUAUUUUUAUGGAUGUUGAUAAAGCACGAGGAAGAUCUUAGGUGUAUUAAGGGUUUGGUUUAUUUUAAAAUAGCAGGGUAUAAAUAAUAAGUAUGGCUUUUAAAUAACCUGCUAUAUAUUUCAAGAAACCAACCUUGCUCUUCUCCACCUCCUUUUGCUUCUUGUCUCCAGUAGCUGCAAUUGUUGCAAAGUACUGGAUGACGCGUUUCGUGUUCACAGUCUUCCCAGCACCAGAUUCUCCGCUGGGGAAUACAAAUAGAUAAAGAGAGAAAGAUAUAAUUGCAAAAAAAAUAAAAAAAAAUAACACAGAAUUUAAAUCUAAUUUAGGGCUAUUUUCUUGGUGAUGGCGAUAUCAAAAUAUACUGGGGGUUAUUAUGGGAGCUAUACCAAUACAAUCCAUUGGAACACUGCCAUUGAUGACUCCUCAUUUAGAACUUUAUUCCAAAAUUGCUCUUUGUAGAUAAAACCUAGUAUCACCCUAAUGAAAUAUAUAUUUGAAUGAAUCAUUAUUUGCUAUAAAAUAUAAAUAAAAGAAUGAGUUUUAUUUGUUUAAAAAGGAUUUUAUAAUUUUAUAAAUUAGGAUUAUUUCACAAUUAUUGCUCAAACAUUAAUUAUUUUUUUUUGCCCCAUAGGUUUAAUUAAUAAUUAGAAAAUCCUAAUGUGAAACUUACGUAAUUAGGACAGACUGAUUUUCCCGAUCUAUGAAAAAAUAAAAUAUAAAGUGUGUUUUAUUAAAUGUUAUCACAUAUUUUAUUCACAUAUCUCGAAAUGUAAAAGCUGAAUUACUAAAGUAUAUACUUAGUAUAUUGUUUAUACGUGCACUGUAUAUUUAUUUAUAUAGUUAUACUAUAAUAUAAAUUUAUAUACAUAUAUGUGUGUUACCAUAGAUUUUUUUUCAGUUUAAGCACAGAAUUAAAUGCACAAUACCUAUUAAAAAGAUGACCACAUUUUAUUCUUAUUUGUCUGGAAGGUUUGCUUCUCUUUCUAACUAUUAAUUAUAUUUCCGAUUGUUUUGUUACAUUAUUACUGUGGUUAGAUAAUUGUUAGGACUGCUUACCAGUUAACAUGAACUGAUAGGCGUUAUCAGAGAUGGAGAAGAUGUGUGGUGGGGCUUCCUGACGCUUUUUGCCUCUGUAAGCAUUGACCACCUCGGGAUUGUACACAGGCAGCCACUUGUAGGGGUUGACUGUAGCACAGAACAGGCCGGAAUAGGUCUAGAGUGAACACGGAAUAAAUAAAUAGGUGUUAGAUCAUAGCUAAUCAUAGACACAGUUUGUUUUAUUUCACAAAAACUUUAUUUCUGCAACAAUUGGUUACGAUAUACAAAUACAUACAACCAGAACAAUUAAAGCUGUAAUUAUGAAUUAUAGUACAAACUGAGCUAUUGUGAAUCAAAUUGAUAUAAAUUUCCAAAGUCAAAGCUGAAAAAAACUGCCUUUUAAAUAAAAAAAUGAUCUUGAACAAAGCAUGUGAAAUUUAUUUAUGCUGCAAUUCUAUUAAAUUUCAGUAUGUUCUAUGCUUUGUAUUGAAAUAAAAAGAUAAUCCCUAUUAAUAGUAAUGUUUUCAGGGUGCUUGCUUGUAAAAAAUGAUUAAUAAUUAGAGUCCUCACUAAUAAUAGGGAAAACAUUUACAAAUGAUUGUUCAAUUCCCAUGUUUAUUUUGCGGAUCUUUUAUUUUAGUUUUGGGUUUGUGUCCUAUUUAGCCAAUGUAAGUGCUAAAAAAGAACAAGAGUCCUUACGUAGAUCAUCCAGGCUGCGUAACGCUCUUUGAGGUUAUACAGGACGGAUGGUUCGUUCAAGUGGGUCAUCAUGGCCAUGUCUUCAAUCUUAUCGUACUUGGGUGGGUUCAUAGGGAAGACUUCAUCAUCCUUCACCGUUACAGUCUAAGUCAAAGAACACAUAUAUCAUCACAAGUAUAUACUUAAUGAAAAGCUGGACAUAAAUGUAAUUCUAGUUGGAAGACAUUGCUCUCUCAACUCAUUAGAAUAUAUAUUUCUGUAGUUUAGGAAGCCAAGAGGUUUAUAAAAUAUCUGAAUUAAAAUUGUUGUAAUACCUCUCUAUGUUAGUGUUUCCAGCCUUAAAGGGACACUAUAGUCACCUGAACAACUUUAGCUUAAUGAAGCAGUUUUGCUGUAUAGAACAUGCCCAUGCAGCCUCACUGCUCAAUCCUCUGCCAUUUAGGAGUUAAAUCCCUUUGUUUAUAAACCCUAGUCACACCUCCCUGCAUGUGACUUGCACAGCCUUCCAUAAACACUUCCUGUAAAGAGAGCCCUAUUUAGCCUUUCUUUAUUGCAAGUUCUGUUUAAUUAAGAUUUUCUUAUCUCCUGCUAUGUCAAUAGCUUGCUAGACCCUGCAAGAGCCUCCUGUAUGUGAUUAAAGUUCAAUUUAGAGAUUGAGAUACAGUUAUUUAAGGUAAAUUACAUCUGUUUGAAAGUGAAACCAGUUGUUUUUUCAUGCAGGCUCUGUCAAUCGUAGCCAGGGGAGGUGUGGCUAGGGCUGCAUAAACAGAAACAAAGUGAUUUAACUCCUAAAGGACAGUGAAUUGAGCAGUGAAAUUGCAGGGGAAUGAUCUAUACACUAAAACUGCUUUAUUUAGCUAAAGUAAUUUAGGUGACUAUAGUGUUCCUUUAACUAAUGACACAUUGCAACUUACCGUGUUGUCUUCUUUCUUCACAGUGACUUUGCCACCUUCUCUGCUCUGAAUGAUACCCUUCACAUACAUCUGCUUUGGGUCUAUCACAAAGUAGGAUGUUUUGGCAUCAAACGGUCUGUUCUGUGCCUCAAGCCUCUCCUUGUCUGAUUUUCGGAGGAAUUGGGCUGCCUCCCCAAAUGCAGCCAUCUCAGCGUCACCCAUGGUUGAUGGUUUACUACACAAGAGUAAAGAUAUAUGUAGUACAAAGAGAGUAGAAUAAUUUCCCUUGAGAAGUUCUAUGUAAAGCAGGAUUCCACAGCAGAUUGCUCCUAAUACACCAGUCAUGGAAACCAAUGGAAUGGUCCUGCUUAUUGUUCCAGUCUUAGAACUUUUCCCCAGAAUUGCUCUUAAGCAUUCAGCCACCAUUUUUGUAAACUAUUUAAAUAUAAACUGCUCGUGCACAGGAACAUCAAUUCAAUCCCUACAUUUUGGUCAAUUUAACAAUGUCAGAGUACUUAAUUUAAAAUGUGUUUAAUAGGAUUAUUCUUGUUUUGUUCCCAGGAAUGAAAAGGAACUGUUAGUAAUAUGAACUGUAGUUAUUUGUUCAAUAAAUGUAAUUAUGCUAAUUUAGUUGUAUUCCCCAUAAGUACAAUUAUUUACACAAUAAACACAAGAAUUAAUAGGAAUUUUCGGUGUUUGAUUCUCAUAUUUUUUUUUCAUUUUUUUGUUUAGGUCACUCGACAGACAUACCUUUAAUAUCCUUCUUGGGUGAGAAAAAUGUGAAAUGGAACCAAGCUGUAAAAGAAAUGCAGGUAGGAUUUGCUUAAUUGUUUUUCAUGUGUUUCAGAAUACGAUUCAUUUUUAAUUUAAUGGCAAAAUUAAAGCACAACAUCAUGUUAAAAUUCCUUACUAUACUGGGUACUUUAUAAAUAUGUGAAUGUGCUUCAAUAAAUUGACUCAACGUGCCAUGGAAGGGACAGAAUGUAUUCAUGUAAUGAAUUUAUGCAAAUAUAUAUAGUUUUGUGCAAUUCAAAUUUAAUUUUUUUGAGUGUGUAUAACAGAGCGCCACUAUACUCACUAUACUCACAGUAAUGUGUCUUUAAACCCCAAUAAAUUUGUUUAGCAAUCCUUUUACAUAAAUAAGAUACAUUGUUCUUGUUCUUAAUUACAUUUUAGUUGCAAAAAUUGUUCUAAGUAAGUCAUCUACAUUUUAUCAGAACUACCAUGCCCCCAGACACACCCCCUCCCCUAAAAUAAAAGUGUCCACUUGAAAAAUUGAGAGGUAUGUGUAUCCCAUAUGGAGCUAUAUAUGGAGGUUUUUUUUUGCAUAGUUAUUAGUAAUAUUAAAAUACAGGUUUUAAAGUUCAAUGCCUGCAUGUAGACAAACUAAAUAAUAAUUCAUGGGCAAAAUGAUUCUUCAAGCUAUAUUAAGUUCCAGUGGCGUUCACUGAAAUUUUUGACCCAGUGCAUCUUCAGUAUGUUAGAUUGCCAGUGUAUACUAGACACUGCAACAUUGUUAUGCUAUUUCUUUUUGGGUGUAAUUAAACAAAGCAGUGAUUGGUCCCCCUACUAGUGUUGGACUAUAUUACUCCAUCAAAAGCAGGGGAGGGGAGCGAUAUUGGGUGUCAGGGGUUCCCAACCCAGUUCUCAGGUACUCCCUAACAGUCCAGGAUUUAGGAAUUACCCUAUGUCUAAAGUGUUUUUUUCUCUCUAAAAAGACAGACACAACUGGGUAAUCCCUUAAUCCUGGACUGUUAGGGGGUACGUUAGGACAGGGUUGGGAACCACUGUUCUAGAGGAUUAAUUGUAUUUACAGAGGCUUGAUUAAAAAGCCAACCCUUCCCCUAAAAAAUUAAAACAAGCGCCAUGUAUAGGAUUUUAAAAUAUAUUAGCAUUUAAUUACACCAUGGAAAUUCGAAAUUUGUAAUUCAGCCAGAAAAUCAUGUAGUAGAUAAAAGCACAAGAUACGGACAACUCUAUUAUUCAUAACGUGAAACGUUUGCCUUCGUGGUGUUUCCUUACCUCUAGAAGCAGUCAGUGAAGGAUAAAGAGAAGGAUGGUCACGACUCCUUUUAUACUUUUAAUUUUGCUAAUACAGCGUUAUCAAUUUCUUUAUUUGGAAAUUAAUCUCACAGCUGUAAAUGUGUCGACGCUAUCAUUUUCCCCCGGUUGACCACUGGAUGAUACAAGAUAUCUCUAACACACUACGGCCAUAUGGAAAACCGGUCUUCUACAAGGUGCCACAAGAAAUGUGUUGAUGUAUGUGCUACUGUGAUCCCAAUAUAAAACUGCGAUUUCAAGCAGAACCGAAUCGCAAUAAAAUGUACUUGUGGAUAAAAUGGAAAUUCUAUAUAUUUCCCAUUUAAGAUAAUUUGAACGGCACUAGAUUCUUGCAGGAUAUUCAUUUCAGCCGUUCUAGAACAGAUGCUUCAGUGUUGACAGUUGCUAGACCAACUAUUUCUGCCUGCAGGCACUACAUGAAGAAUGUAAUUCCGGUUUGUUAUGCAGGUUUGUAUUAAAAAUGCUACACUAAAGUAUAUUAAAAAAAAUAAAAAAUUAUAUAUAAAUAUAAAAGGGUUUCAGAGACAUUUUGAUAAACCACUAGACUGAAGGUCAGAUGCUUUAUGAGUGAGAUAGCAUCUUUUUCCUCUAAAACACAUUUCAAUGUUUACAUUUAAGAUUAAUGAUUAAGGUUAAGAUUUAGGGAUAGUGUAGUGUAGUAUAGGGGGUUAAAGGGACACUAUAUGCACCAAGACCACUUCAGCUCAUUGCAGUGGUCUGGGUGCAGUGUCCCAUGUCCCUUAACCCUACAAUAGCAAGUAUUGCAGUUUUUGAUAAACUGCAAAAAUUACCUGCUAGGGUUAACUCCACCUCUAGUGGCUGUCUACCAUCCACUAGAGGCACUUCUGGGUCAUUAGGUGACUUUUGGUCACCUAACUGACGUUGGACGUCCUCACGCUAUGCAUGAGGACAUCCAGCGUCACCCAAAGCGAUUGCCACGCAUGCACAUUAGGUUCCGCUGUCGGCUGAUGUCGGCAGGGGAGGAGCGGAGGCUGAGUUUUUAACCCCUUCUGCACCACCUGGUGGCGGAGGGUGAGAGGGAAAGGGGCACUGUAAAAUGUGGACAUUUCUGUUAGGGGAGUACUGGAACAUACAUAUCUCAGUGCAAUCAACUUUAUCUCUCUGAGCUCCAUGUGAAUGUUAGAAGACAGAAGAUUCAAAUCCAGUCUUAAAGAUACACUAACACGACAGGUCACAGGACUAACUAAACCACAUAUACAUCAUCGCUAUGAAAUUUCUAUGUUUCUAUGUUUCUAUGUUUAACAUGUAUAGCUUGGAGGAAAGACGAGACAGGGGGGAUAUGAUAGAAACAUUUAAAUAUAUAAAGGGAAUCAACACAGUAAAGGAGGAGACUAUAUUUAAAAGAAGAAAAACUACCACAACAAGAGGACAUAGUCUUAAAUUAGAGGGACAAAGGUUUAAAAAUAAUAUCAGGAAGUAUUACUUUACUGAGAGGGUAGUGGAUGCAUGGAAUAGCCUUCCAGCUGAAGUGGUAGAGGUUAACACAGUAAAGGAGUUUAAGCAUGCGUGGGAUAGGCAUAAGGCUAUCCUAACUAUAAGAUAAGGCUAGGGACUAAUGAAAGUGUUUAGAAAAUUGGGCAGACUAGAUGGGCCGAAUGGUUCUUAUCUGCCGUCACAUUCUAUGUUUCUAUGUUUCUAUGUUUCAUAGACUAGUUGAGAUCACAGUCCCAGGCAGCAGCUAUUCCAUUAGCCAACAUUAAAAUGCAGCAGCAAUGUAACUUCCUCUAAUCAAAGGCAGACCGCGACACACAUGCCCCAAUUCUGCUCGAGAUCAGGGCUCUCAGCCUUUACAGAGGUAAUCAGUGCAUCACCUGUUAUUAAAAGGAAUAAAUGCACAGAUCAGGACCAUACAGUAUGGCAUUCAAAAACAUGUUCUGUCCAUUAAAUAUCAUGUAAUAUACUGUAUGUAAUAAAUGUUUCGUUUGGCGAAAAUUUUAAUAUGGCAAUAUACUUGUCUGGUAUCUUUAAAAUAAGUGAAAAUACCACAUUACUGUUCUAAUAUGACUAUGAAAAUUGAGCCUGCUGGCGCUGUUGUGGCGAUACAGGCACUGUUGUACCUACCUGCAUACCAAAAAUAAAGAAUAAAAAAAUAAAAAAAUAAAAAAAAUAAGUGAAAAUAAAACAUUGGAUAGUAAUAUUAGAUAAAAUGCAAUUUAAGUAAUUACCACUUGUGAACAUAUAAAAUAUGUAAACCCUAAGAUUAAGUGAAAUUAGAACACUUAAAUUCCAUUUGACUUAAAUAGGGAACAUCUAUAGAAAUUAAUGUUGCACCACUCAAAGAGAUGUUAUACUGCACUAACACAGCUACCACAAUUCUAUUUUAUAUGUUGAGAGAUAUGAAUAGAUAAAUCUCCAAUAAAUUCUGCAGCGCUGUACAACGGGUGCUAGCAGACAAGUUUUUGUAACCAGAGGAGUUUAACGCACAGGAGCAGAGGGGUUGAGGGCCUUGCUCAAAAGAGCUUUCAUUCUAGAGAGAGUCGGGUAAAAUGACACGAAAAGUAAGUUGCUAGAAUAGUUUUUAAUGAGGGCUUAGUAGUUUUUUCUUUUGGACGACACAGUUUAAGAAGAGGAAGCAUGGUGCGGGCAAUAAAAGCUAGUAAUGGUUUAAUUGAUAUGCUCUCCUGAAGAAGUGAGUUUUCAGUGAUUAUUUGAAGAAAUGGAGACUGGGUAAGAGUCUAAAGGAGGGGAAGGGAGUUCCAUAGGAAUGGCACAGCCCUAGAGAAGUCUUGAAGGCGAGCAUCAGAGGUAAGAGUAUGAACAGAGGAUAGAUGCAGGUCUUUGUCAGAGUGUAGGGGCCUGGAUGGGACAGGUAUUGGGAAGGAUAGGUAGGUAGGAGAAUAUUUAUGUCGAGAUUUGUAUGCAAGCACCAGAAUUUUAAGUUGAGCCCUAUAUAUUAGAAAGCCAAUGUAGGGACUGUCAGAGGUGUGGGAGGUGCGGGCGGACAGGAAGAUAAGCCUCGCAGCCGCAUACAUUAUAGACCUUAAAAGGGCAAAUUGGGAACACGUUGGACCACAGAGAAGUGGAUUGCAGUAGUCAUGGCGAGAGAGCAUAGCAGCAUGGACCAGCAAUUUAGCUUUGUCCAGCAUUAAUUAUUGAGGGAGGAAAGACAAAAAGUUAUGUUUUGGACAAGUUAAGUUUAACUAUGUGAGCAGCUAUCCAGUUAGAAAUAGCAGAGAGGCAUUUGGAGACAUGAGUCAAGAGGGAUAGUAAAAGAUCAUGGGAGGACAGAUAGAUUUGCGUGUCAACCGCAUAAAAAGUAUAUUGGCAGCCAAAAGAGCUGAUAAGUUUACUAAGGUAUAGAACAUUAGGGGACCAAGGACAGAACAUUGGGGAACACCAACAAAGAAGGGUUGUGGAGAAGAGGCAGAGGAAGAGCCAGAGAAAGAAACACUGAAAGAGCACUGGGAGAGGUAGAAGGAGAACCAGGAGAGAGCAGUGUCUCAUAGACCGAGAUUAUGGAGGAUGAGAAGAAGUUGUUGAUGACAACAUGGUCCAAAGCAGCAGACUGGUCAAGGAGAAUUAGCAUAGAGUAGUGACCAAUAGAUUUUACAGCAAUUGAAUUAUUGGACACUUUGGUCAGAGCUGUCUCAACAGAGUGAAAAGUGCGGAAUCCAGACUGAGUAAGUCAAGUAGAGAGUUGGAUUCAAGGAAAUUGGUACACAACUUUCUCAAUGAUGUUGGAGGCAAACUAUAGUAGUGAGAUAGGGCGGUAGUUGGAUGGGGAGUUAUGGUCAAGUUUGGACUUUUUUUAGAAUUGGGCUUACAGCUGCAUGCUUCAAAGGUGAAGGAAAUGUACCAGAGGAGAGGGAGAGAUUAAAUAUUUUAGUGAGGGACAGAGCAAGCAUUAAAUACCCAUGUAUUUAUUUCAAAAUAAAGUAAUUCUAACUUCGGUAUGACUUCAAAUGAGUUCUUCUUGUGUGUGUUUUUUUUUUUAAGCAAAGAUACAAACUUGAUACACUGUGUGUUAAAUAUAGAUUGUUUCCACUGGAUUAGUCAAAAUAUCUCUUAAAAUAAAUUCUUCCCUCUUAUUAGUCAAAGAAUCAGUUUACAUCGAGCAAAAUCAGGCUGAGAUUAAAUUAGUUUAUCACGUGAGUUCCUCACGGUUCUUUAUUAAAUAUAUAUAUAAAAAAAAUUAGCUUAAGACACCAGGAACCUGUUAGGUUAACAAGUAUGAGUAACUAGGAGCCCCCUUCUAUUUGUUUAUGUUUGUCUAUAUGUCAUAUGGCAAUAGACAUAUUACAUUCGUAAUGAAUAUACCUGAAAAGCUCAUCGACUAAGAAUCUGGAACUUGGGGACAAAUUAUAAAGUUCUGGUAAUUCCCUUAUAUAGUGUUUCUCAACAUGUGUUGUUUUAGGACUUAGACUGGAUACAAAAAUUCAACAUACACCUUUCCAUUUCAUGUCCAAUAUUGGAAAUGGGUGGAAUCUGAAAUAUGGGAAGGAUGAAAGUAGUGGUCAUUCUAUUGAGGAGGCUAGUUGACCUUUGAUAAGAUGUUGUGCUGGUCAUAACUUUCCAUGGAAAUGGAAUAUAUUUCCUUUUAAGUCCUGGCACAACCCCAAGCUAACCAUGCCUGGAUAAACUCUCCCCACCAACCCACAUGGAUGCAUACACUACAUAUCCAUAGCUUAGCAGGUCUCAGUUCAAUGAGCUGUUUUACAUCCAGAUUAUCAAGCGAAGGUUUUGGCAAACGUUCUCCACUAUACAAGCCAGGAUGCCGUGCCUUUUUGUCAGUUCUAAAAGCAGUUUACGGUGUUUUUUUUUUCCAGCUAAUUCUAUUCAGUAUAAUUCCAACUUUUAGUUUCUAAAAAAAAAAAAAAAAUGAGAGAUGAAGACCCAUCACAAAGCUAAUGAAGCUGUAAUUUGUAGACUUGAAUAUUAGUUUUGUUAUUUAUUUAUUUAUUUUUUUUUGGAUUCAGGAUUUCUGAAUUGACAUAUAAACUAAUCACAAAAGCAAUGGACGAAUAUGUUCGUUUGAUUCAUGAUUCACAGUUCUCCCCAUAAUGCCAAAAAAGAAAUGACAGAUGGGAAAAAGAUGGUUGACAGAUAGUGGAAAUCUACAAAAAAAAAAUAAUAGUUAAUGUAAUAUAUACAUUUUUUAAUUUUAUUAGUCCUCCUUUUUUUCCUUUGUUAUUUACUUCUUAUUUCUUGAUCGAUUAACUAAAUGGCAGUAAAAUGCACCCCUCAAUGUUCUGCUAAAUAUAUCUAUAAUAUUUAUAUCUUGUAUAUAUUAUUACACUGGCUGACCCAUUUUCACACUCUUUUGGUUUGUCUGAUUUUGUUUUCUGUUUUUUUUUUUUAUAGUUAAUUUUCUUUAAUAAAACAGUCACAUUUCAUGUUUUGAUUUUUGUCAGCAGAAUUCUUCUGUUUUGGAUGGAUUUUUCCAUUUCUGUUGUCAAGGACGUCGUAGAGGCCAGAUUUUCACAUUAACAGAUCCUUAAAAUAGCUUCAACACCAGCAGCCUCAGCGAGGUCAAUUAACUAAUUACCUAAUUAUGACGUCUGGUCCUUUAAAUUAGUAAUGUGUCAAAAUAAAAUACAUAUUCACGCUAACUUAUUACGUUCACAAAAUAUGAAGAAAAAUAAGUUAUGUUGCUUGGGGAGAAAAAAAAAAGGCACAGUUAGAAUUCGAUGUAAUUUUUUUUACGUUGCAUACCCAUCACAUAAUACCUGCCAAUCUGACAGUGGCAUAACAAUUUGUGGAACUGAAAUAUUUUGAGAACAAAUAAAAAUAAGGAAAAGGUGAGGCGAGGUAUGGAAUAUUUUGAUGCAAAGACAACAAUGACAAACACCUAAAAAAGCAUAAAAAUUAAAUACAACACUUUAUGCAUAACCGACAAUUGUAUAACAGAGAGUCGAGAAUCUCGUUACAAAGGGGCAAGUUAGGGUGACAUGAAAAUUAAAAAUUGGUUAAAAAUCUCAUAAUGCACUAGGCUUCUGCACGAGAAUAUUUCACUUGGUACGAAAGAAUCGAUCAGUCCAGAUUUACAAUCGUUAUCCAUUUUCUUAGAAUAAUCUUUCUUGCUUUUAUUUAAUCUGUUACUCAAUAUUUUUUUUUAUUAGUUUUUUUAUUUUGUGUGAACGAGUUAUUACUCUAUAAAUGAAUGAGAAAUGAUUGUCAUAAAUAUUAACGCAUCCACUCCAUCUCCUGCCAAGAUAACUGCCUGUCCUAAUCACUUUCUGGCUUAAUGGUUGUUGAGUGUGGUAUGCGUGAAGGAAAAUUUGAGAUGCGUUACCUUCCUCCUCCGUACAUUGAUGAUUCCACCACAUGUCCUGAUAUAACUACCAAUCUGAUCAACAGAAACCUGCAACUUCAACACUUUCCGAAGUGGAUCAUUAUAACAUUAUAUCCCAAAUAUAAAUAAUGCUGUAUCGGCAUAUCCAGCUGUAUUUAAAAGGUCUUGAUACACAAUGUUAGUUCCCUCGCUGUCUUUGUGCUGCACUGGGUAAGUCUGUUUGAACGCUCCAUAAAUGAUACAUUUCUGAUUGUAUACAUAGAAAACGGACAAUGUGUGUUUCUGUAUUACAAACCUUUAUUUGAGAAAUUAGGGGUAUUUAAACGUAUUUUAAUUUACUGCUAAGGCAUUUCCAAGUGUAAAAUUAUUCUAGUAAUUAUUUAAGCAAACUUGGUCAAAGUGAUAUUGUUUGGGAAUCAAAUUGUGUAAGUUUUAAAUCUGUUUUAAAUAUACCGUAUACACUCGAGUAUAAGCCGAGUUUUUUGGCACAUUUUUUGUGCUGAAAAAGCCCCACUCGGCUUAUACUCGAGUCAAUGUCUGUAUUAUGGCAACUUACAUUGAGCCCGGCGGUCCUGUUUGAGGCUGGCAGCGAGCGGUUACCUUUACAGCAGCUCUUGUCAGCUCCCUUCUCCUCCGUGCAGCUCCCCUGUCAGCUCCGUUCUGCUCCUAGUGUAAAUCUUGCGACACCCGCGGCCGUCAGAGCGUUGCCACGGUUUACUACAUAGAGCUGCAUACAAUACAGAGAUAACCAUAUCACAAACAGAACUAUAAUCCCACAAAUAGAGAUAUAAUACACAGAACUGGGCACUAUACAGAGAUACAUAUACAAUACAGAGAACUGGGCACUAUACAGAGAUACAUGUACAAUAUAGAGAACUGGGCACAAUACAGAGAUACCUGUACAAUACACAGAACUGGGCACUAUAUAGAGAUACAUAUACAAUACACAUAGCUGGACACAAUACAGAGAUACCUAUACAAUACACAGAUACCUAUACAAUACACAUAGCUGGACACAAUACACAGAUACAUAUACAAUACACAUAGCUGGACACAAUACAGAGAUACCUAUACAAUACACAUAGCUGGACACAAUACAGAGAUACCUAUACAAUACACAUAGCUGGGCACAAUACAGAGAUACCUAUAUAAUACACAUAGCUGGGCACAAUACAGAUAUACAUAUACAAUACACAGAGCUGGUCACAAUACACAGAGAUACAUAUACAAUAGACAGAGCUUGGCACUAUACAGAGAUACCUAUACAAUAGACAGAGCUGGGCACUAUACAGAGAUACCUAUACAAUAGACAGAGCUGGGCACUAUACAGAGAUACCUAUACAAUAGACAGAGCUAGGCAUUAUACAGACGUACCUACACAAUACACCGAGCUGGUCACAAUACAGAGACACAUAUACAAUACACAGAGCUGAGCACAAUACAGAUAUAUAUAUAUAUGUAUAUAUAUAUAUAUAUAUAUAUAUAUAUAUAGACACACACACACACACACUACACAGAGCUGAGCACUAUAUAGAGAUACCUAUACAAUACACCUAGCUGGGCACAAUACAGAGAUACCUAUACAAUACACAUAGCUGGGCACAAUACAGAUAUACCUAUACAAUAGACAGAGCUGGGCACAAUACAGAGAUGCCUAUAUAAUACACAGAGCUGGACACAAUACAGAGAUACCUAUACAAUAGACAGAGCUGUGCACAAUACAGAGAUACUUAUACAAUAGACAGAGCUAGGCACAAUACAGAGAUACAUAUACAAUAGACAGAGCUGUGCACAAUACAGAGAUACCUAUACAAUACACAUAGCUGGACACAAUACAGAGAUACCUAUAUAAUACACAGAGCUGGGCACAAUACAGAGAUACCUAUACAAUAGACAUAGCUGGGCACAAUACAGAUAUACCUAUACAAUAGACAGAGCUGGGCACAAUACAGAGAUGCCUAUAUAAUACACAGAGCUGGACACAAUACAGAGAUACCUAUACAAUAGACAGAGCUAUGCACAAUACAGAGAUACCUAUACAAUAGACAGAGCUAGGCACAAUACAGAGAUACAUAUACAAUAGACAGAGCUGUGCACAAUACAGAGAUACCUAUACAAUACACAUAGCUGGGCUCAAUACAGAGAUAAAUAUACAAUACACAUAGCUGGACACAAUACAGAGAUACCUAUAUAAUACACAGAGCUGGGCACAAUACAGAGAUACCUAUACAAUAGACAUAGCUGGGCACAAUACAGAGAUACCUAUACAGUAUACAGAUACCUAUACAAUACACAUAGCUGGACACAAUACAGAAAUACCUAUAUAAUACACAGAGCUGGACACAAUACAGAGAUACCUAUACAAUAGACAGAGCUGUGCACAAUACAGAGAUACCUAUACAAUAGACAGAGCUAGGCACAAUACAGAGAUACAUAUACAAUAGACAGAGCUGUGCACAAUACAGAGAUACCUAUACAAUACACAUAGCUGGGCUCAAUACAGAGAUAAAUAUACAAUACACAUAGCUGGACACAAUACAGAGAUACCUAUAUAAUACACAGAGCUGGGCACAAUACAGAGAUACCUAUACAAUAGACAUAGCUGGGCACAAUACAGAGAUACCUAUACAGUAUACAGAUACCUAUACAAUACACAUAGCUGGACACAAUACAGAGAUACCUAUAUAAUACACAUAGCUGGGCACAAUACAGAGAUACCUAUAUAAUACACAGAGCUGGGCACAAUACAGAGAUACCUAUACAAUACACAGAGCUGGGCACAAUACAGAGAUAUAUAUCUUCUAUCUUCCUAGACCUCUCUUAGACCACCCUUACAUGAUCUCAUCUUCAGUAAUGCUCCUGCUAUGAUAACUUUAGCUUUCUAUUAAAUAUUGCUUCUGUUAUGAAGCAUAACUCAAGAUAUUUUUUUAAAUAAAAUAAAAAUAUAUAUAUAUAUAUAUAUCAGGCAGAGGUAACAGUGCACAAAUGGAACUUGGUAGAAUGUGCAUUUAUGUAUAAAUUAAUUUAAUAACAAUGCACAUUUCACUGCUCAUUAUGCUAAUGCUAAUAUAUGUACACUUUGUGCAGUUACCUUUGCCUUAUAUUAAACACAUGUUGCAUGAAAAUAAAGAUUAAAUGUUAUUGGUCGAGUUACGUGGCUCAGUCUCAAAUUUGAUUGCUGGGGGCAAGAUGAACUGUUUAGAAGGGGACCGCUUGCAAAAGCUUCGGAGAAGAGAUCUGUAAUUUUUGCGAGUUGUUUAAGAUAUAUCCCUAAUGAAACAAGUGCAUAAUUAAAUGAGCUAAUGUUUCAAUUUGGGGUAUAUCUACUAAACAGUGAUGUUUGUAUUGGGGCAGUGUCCUUGCACAUAUGUCACUGUCACUCCGCAGCAGCUCUGAAGUUCACCAUACUGCCAAAAACAGAUACUGUUAUAUAGUAAUAAUUAACUAAUGUCUCUAUCAGUGAUCAGUGAUUUGUUUUCCAUUUAAUAUGGGGGGGUAAUGAUUGAAAACAAGUUGUUUUUUAAAUCUGCGAUAUGCUCCCUAAUCGUGGAGGUAUUCCAUUGGUUUGUAUGAUAAAGUACCAAGGAUAUCCUUCUAACCUUUUCCAUACAGAUAGAGCAAGUUACCUGUGGGGCUUCAUCCCUAUAUAUAUUAAGUCUUCCACGUGGUAAGACCUUUGUAGGGGGUGGUUAGGUUUUUACUUUAUUAAUUCCUUUUCUCCCGUCAUUUAUAUAUAUGUAUGUUUUUGUAUUUCUUUGGUAUUACUUGUGCUGUGAUGUAAGUGAUGUUAUUUAUUUAUUUCAACUUUAUUAAUUAAUUUAGAUUUUUAUAAAUCCCUCUUUAAGCACAUAUUUGGAACGUGUACAGCGUUAAUGUUUGAAUGUUUCCCACGCCAUUAGUUUCUCUCUUUUUUUUUUUUGUAUGCAGCCUCAAUAAUUGUUAUAUAGUUUCAUGUUUGAGAAUAUAAAUUUUAAUUUAAGUAUUUAAUUUUUGUGAUGUUUAGGAUAUCACACACCUGAUUUAAAUUUUUUUUUUUUUAUUGGCGCUGUAACUUUUACAAAUGAUCUUAUAAGUUGGCAUGCUGCUAUAACAGUUGCAUUAUUUUACUUGUUAAAUCAAAUAAUUACAAAAUAAAUAAAUGCCAGGUGAGUGGCAAAUAAUAAUGUGGCUUUAGUUACAGUAUGUAGUUAUGCAAUGUAUGAUCAUAUCCUGUAACUAAACCCCCAUUCCUUUUUGCCGGUCAAAUAACUUGAGCUUCUGGGCACUGAAAAGGGGGCGCUCUCUGGCUGGUUGGGAAAUAGGGAAAAAUGGAGUUGGAAGUUAGGUAUCUGGGCUAGCCGCGGCCUGGCCAGAGUUCAAGAGAAUUGUGAGCAAGUCCUGCUACAGUCCUCGUUCCUCUCUAGACUCAUUGGAUGGCCUAUAUGGAGAGAUGCUCUUGAUUGCUUGGCAUGGAGGGGUAGGUGUGUAGCGGAGAUCUGGUAUUCCACAGGUUAUCUCCGCUUUUGAUCCCAGUGAGGCUCAGGAACAAGUGUUAUAAAUCCACAAGGCAAGGUUUCCAGCAGGCAAAAUAAUCCAGCAAUAUCCCAACCUCAAUCCCAAUGACUGGACGACACACAGCAUCAGGAGCAGAACUGAACUUUUAUUCACAUAGUGGCCUUAUAAAGCAUUCAUUCAGGGAUUUACAAUCAUUAGUACAGUGUCCAAUCAUACCUGAGUAACCUCCCACACAUCUCCUCCCCUUAGCCUGACUCAUAAUCCCCCUAUACAGAACACAAAUUCCCUGGGUUUUUGGAUGUACACCUAAACCUAGGGGUACCCCUUUAAAUAUUACAUCCCCUGGUAACCCUGAUCUGGGUGAGAGACAUAUCCAAAAAUCACCCAGAUCGGACAUGGGGUUCAGGAAAUCUGUGGAUGUAUUAAAAAGACCGACUGCGCUGGAGGGAACAGACGAAAUUGGUUCCAUGAGAUGGGGCCCUGCGGUCGGUCACAGAAGAAGGGAAUAAAUGGCACGAAAGGCUUGUGCUAUAGAGACUAGGGAGGGUUCGCAUGAAUCCCCUUGUUCGGGUGUUUCUUUCUACCGAACGGGUGGUUGUUCAGUAGUUUGGAUAUGAAUUUAAGGGCAGUGUGGAGGUCUCAGCGGUGUUCGCCUAGCCGAGUGUCCGAUUUGGGUUCCAGACACUCGACGGCAAAACACAGCUGUUCGGGAGUUUUAACGUGUUCGUUUCCCGAAUGGCGGCCACCCCGCAAACAAAGGACCCACUGCACAGAUUGCCAAUUACCCGUUCGCAACAUUGUUGCAACCGGUAUAUGGAGGCACACUUCCUACUGGGGUGGUCUGACUGUUAGGUAGUUUAAUUCUCAUAAGGACUGGAGUGAAUCUACCGAACAAUCAGGCGAAUGCUGCAUACAGUUCCACAUACAUAGAUACAAUUUAACCGAAUUCAUAAUAAUAAAUGUAGUUUUUAGAACAGCCCAAUGCCAUCCGCUACAAGGUGAUGAGAGCCAGGGUUAGGGACAUGGUUUCUUGGGCAAAACCUGGGGGAUAGACACAGUGAUUAUGCCUGUUUGGGGGGUGAAGUGCGGGGCUGUUCCUGGUAUAGGCAUGGGUGACUGGGUAGUCUGUCACACUACUAAAAAAUUUGGCUGCUAGUAGAGUGUUAAAAUAAAGUUAUAACAUGCACAGGAUUCUCCACCGAAGUGUGAAUUGUGAAAAGUCAAACUUAAUAUCAAAUACAAGAUUAAAAUAGCUAAAAUUCAGGAAAACAAAAAUAUAGCUAAAAUAGCUAAAAUGGAAUAAUUCUCCAAGUUAGUUGGUUUGGCCUAUAAUUAAAAUCCACUUAGAAUUCUUAACAACCCACACUUUGGUGAAUAAUCACUGUGGUUCAAACUGUUUUUUUGCCUUCUUUAGGAUAAACAGAAAAACAACAAAUGUAAGGCAGAACUUGAUGGACACAUGUCUCUUUUCAUCCUACGUAACUAUGUAAAGCUAAUGUGAAUACCCAAGUUUUCUUUACAUAGCGUGGUUUUAAAAGGAUUGGCUAUCUCAAAGUGUAAGAUUUUGGUGAACUUUCUGUUAUUAAAAUUUGGGGAAUGGUUAAAAAGAUAUGUUUGGCUUUAGCUUCUCACUGUUAAAACACCUGUGUUCACAGAAGUACCCUUACAGAAUGGAUUCAUUCUCUUAGUCUAGAUGGAUGGGGGAUGGGAUGGGUGGUUGGGGGUUGGGAGACUCUAAAGAGAUGUAUUUCAUGAAAAGACUGCAUAGAAUUUCAAGAAUGCAAAACACAACACAUUAGGCUGUGCAAUCAGAAGAUUUUUGAAAAAGGGACAAAAUUAUUUUUGUUGUUGUUGUUGUAGUAAUCAGUAUCAAAUGUAGUCGUUUUCUUUUUCUUAAAAAACAUAAGAAGCUAAUCCAAAUUCUCCCCAAAACGCCAGGAAAAACUAGACUGGAUAAAGAGGACAAUGCGGCUCUAUAUUAGGAUUAAAAAGAUAAUCCAGACUAGGACACCUUGCUCACGGUGCCUAGAGGGAUAUCAGCGAUACCUCACUGACAAUGCCUAAAAAGGCUGAAACGAUCGUCUGGGAUUGCUGUAUCUCUCGCGCAGAGAGAGCCAACCUGCAUUUUGGAUCUGUUCUGCCCUUUUGGGUGGGAAAAGUCUGAUAUGCUAAUGGCCCUGGUUCUUUUUGUAAUGGCGCAAGAUGAACUAUAACCAGCUUGAUGUCUAAGUGUGGACCCAUCGAAGGGCAGACUAUUUGAGCUGUUGUCCGUUCUCAGUACUCUCUUACACCUUGUUUUUUGCUCUCUAUAUUAGGAUAUGUCAUCUUAAACAUCCCUUGCACAUGGCUAUGAUGAACCAAGAGGCUGAUGUUUGAAUUAAAAAAACGGAGUCGGGAAAACCUUCCAAAGCGCAUUUUACGCAUCCUGAGUCUCCACAUGUUACAGUACAGAAUUGAUUAGAUGUUCUUAGUAUCAUUAGAAUAAUCGCUAGCACACACAGAGUUCUGUAUAAACACAGGGUUUAUUUGCAUUCUGCAUGAACUACAUUAAAACAAAUUACUUUAAUUACAAUGAAGUCCAUAUUGUAUGAACUUGUGUAAACCACGUCUUCUCUUUAUUCUUCCACUUUCUGUGAAAUAGAAAAUUGUACACAUUGUAUUACAGUAGAAUGUAACCAAAAUCAAAUCACCCACCCUAGUUUAUAUAUUGGAUAGAAAGCUAUCUGCAGUGCAACUGAACUAAAUAUUCUUAAAUCUUCAUGUAUAGUGGGAAAUAUGACGUUUUAAAUUCAAUUUAUACAAAAUUACAGUAAAGGCAGGGCUCAAAAUUACCACUUGCCACUAGCCAAUGCUGUGUGAAAAUGUAGCCUUGUUGAGUAGAACAUUUCUCCUGGCCAACAGAAAUUCCAGACUUGCAGUUGUAAGUAACGUUUAAGGUCUGGCUAGUCAUAUAUUUGAAAAUUUAAGCCCUGCUAAAGGUAAUAUUUUUUACUUCCCCCAUACACACACACACACACGAUUAUCCAAUGCAUUAUUUUUAGCAUUGACACUAGUUUAAUUCUCCUGAAAACCUGGCUGGGCCUUUCAUUCGUGGUACCAUCUGACCUCUUCAUCAAUAGUCCCCCUUAGACCAGCUCAUCUGACUUCAUUAAUAUGUCCUAUUCUCCAUACUACCCAUCAGUGAACCUAUCUAUCCUUCUAUCAGUUAAAAUAAAUAUUAAUCAUAUUAAGUUGUAAAAGUGCCUUUUAUUACAGUCAGCAAGAUAUGACCUGUUAACAUUUUGACUCUAAAGUGAGUCACUUCUUAGCUGAAACAUUGAGGAUCACUAUUUGGUGGUUGUAAUAAAAACACAUUUGUAAAUGUAAAAACAUCUCAAUAUUUCAUACCGAUAUUACACUUCACUGAUUCAACUGGAUGCAAAGGUAAAAUGCUCUCUUUUAUGAUUUCAUAAUAACUAGGAUGAUCAGUGUUAUGUAUAAUAACAAUCAGAGUAUAAAUCUCACUGUAUCAGAAACGUUCAUACCUUGGUGAUAGUGCGGCUCUUGACUCUAAGCUUGUUGACCUGAGAUUCAGCAAUAUCAGCCCGUUCCUCUGCCUCUUCUAGUUCAUGUUGAGUCUUCCUGAAUCUGGAAAGAUGUAUAUUUGUCUGUUCCUCCUAAACCAGAAGAAUGGGUUGGUUAGAAUGUCUGUUGCAUCUUAGCAGUGAAAUCCAGAAAGGGACUAGGCAAAUAAUACUUACGCUCUCCUCGGCCUGCCUCUUGUAAGCUUUCACCUUCAGCUGAAGUUUGUCUACUAAGUCCUGCAACCUGAAGACAUUCUUCUUGUCCUCUUCAGACUGUGAUUUAUUAAAACAUAUUAAGAUUUGGGCUCAUUAUAUACAUAAUUAAAUAUAUUUGUCUAAUAGGCCACUAGAUUAAACGAGCGAAAAUAAAAAAUAAUUAAACCAAGCCCACCUGGUAUGUCAGCUCUUUUACUCUCCUCUCGUACUUGCGUACACCCUUAAUGGCAUCACUGCCUCUCUUCUGUUCGGCAUCCAGCUCAUUUUCCAGCUCACGCACCUGGAUAGCGAGGACAUUAUAUUGUUAUGUUACAUACUUUGUACACAUGAAUUAAAUAUAUAAUGAUGUAAAUAGAGAUCUAAACUCACUCUGGACUCUAAUUUCUGGAGCUGCUUCUUUCCUCCUUUCAUUGCCAGUUGCUCGGCCUCAUCCAAACGGUGCUGGAGAUCCUUCACGGUCUGUUCCAGGUUCUUCUUCAUCCUCUCAAGGUGAGCGCUGGUGUCUUGUUCCUUCUUUAAUUCUUCAGCCAUCAUGGCAGCCUAGUAGAAUCACCAAAGCAUAUUUCAGUUAUUGGAUUUAUGCCCCUCCUACACAUGAUGCACAUAGCCUGAAAAAAAUAGUAUUCAUUGGUAACUAGACAUACAUCUGUGAUGGCCUUCUUAGCUUUUUCUUCUGCAUUCCUAGAUUCUUGCAGAGAAUCUUCAACUUCGCUCUGUAGUUGUGAGAGAUCAGAUUCAAGCUUCUUCUUGGUGUUGAUGAGGCUGGUAUUCUGUUUGUUGAGUAGAAGGAGAACAAGUGAGGUCCUAGUUCAUAUAUAUAAUAUUUCUUUAAAAACUGUAAAAAAAGGGAAUCUUAGAACAUCCAUACCUGAGUGUGGAGCAGCUGUACACGCUCUGUGACAUCAAGAAGCUCUUGUUCUGCCACUUUGCGUCCACGCUCAGUCUGUUCCAAGGCAGUUCUAAUUUCUUCAAUUUCAGCAGUCAUGAGGUUGUUGCGUCUUUCAACAAUAGCCAACUGUUCCUUCAAAUCAUCAUUUCCUCGAACAGCAUCAUCGAGGUGUAGUUGGGAAUCCUACCAUCAUUAAAAGCCAUGUUAUCCAAACACAUAUUCAUGCAAGAUUAAGCAUUUCUUUUCACAGUUAUUUACCUUAAGUUGUCCCUGGACAUUCCUGAGAUGUUUCUGUGCUUCUGCUGCCUGGCGGUUGGCAUGGCUUAGCUGAAUCUCCAUCUCAUUAAGGUCUCCUUCCAUCUUCUUUUUGAUUCGAAGGGCAUCAUUCCUGCUUCUGAUCUCAGCAUCAAGGGAGCUCUGCAUGGUCUCCAGAGAUCUCUGACUAUUCCUCUUCAGCUGUUCAAUCUCUUCAUCCUUCUCUGCAACUUUUCUGUCCACCUCGGACUUUACUUGAUUUAACUCAAGUUGUACACGAAGUAUUUUUGCCUCCUCAUGCUCCAGAGAACCCUAGGUACAGAUUCAAGUGUGUGUUUAGAGUAUUGCAGAACUAUCAUAUGAACAUGUUUUUAAUAUUGUUAAAACAAUACUUGCCUCUGCUUCUUCUAGAGCUGACUGCAAGUCAAAUUUCUCUUGCUCCACCUGUUUUUUAGCCUUUUCUAUUUCAUGAACACUCUUUCCUGUCUCUGCAACUUGUUCUGUCAGAUCAGAGAUCUCCUCUGGAAAAACACAAUUAAUAACAAGUUAAAAACUGGUGAAUCGGCGUGAAGUUUUGGAUUAUGUUAUAUACAUGAUAAGUUAACACUUUCAUGAAAUCAACACCUUGAUUUAAACAGUAUUAUCAACAUUCACAUCAUACUCACGUUGAAGGUUCUUGUUCUCUCUCUUAAGAGUCUCAAGCUGGUCCAGAGCUUCCUCAUAGGAAUUCUUCAUCUUGAAGACCUCUGUGCUUAGAGACCUGGUCUCCUUCUGAGAGGCUUCUAGCUCUGCCUGAGUUUCUUCAUAUUUUUGCUUCCAUUCAGACAGAAUCUAUGUAAUAAAACCAAGUAUUUUAUGUAAAAGUCUCUCACACACAUCAAAAGAUCCCAAGGUGAGAAUUUUGUUCACUCAAAGAUAAAAACUUACAGUGGCUUGUUGAUUUGGCCUUUUAUUUAUUUUUUUGUUACUAUGAUAUACUGAAAAUAUUUUAGCUAUUUUAAAAUGUAGCAUUUCUAGCAUUUUGCUCUACAUUGUUUUAAAUACAUUUACCACAUUCAAUUAAAAUGUGUAAUAUAUAGGAAAUAAACCUUGUCAAAAUUCCUCUGCUUCUUAUCAAGAGCUGCACAGGCGGAGUUGGAGCGUUCUACGUCCACCAUAAGAUCUUCCACUUCUCCUUGGAGUCUCAGUUUGGUCUUUUCCAAAGAUGCACACUUAGAGUUGACAGCCUCAAUUUGCUCCUCCGCUUCCUGGAGACGCUGGGCAAGUUUCUUCCUAUUAUAUUAAUAUCAAAUUGGAUGAGUGUCUUUCUAGGUAUAGAGUUUUUAGUUAAGGAAAAAAUAAAUGUUGAUAGAGUGAUGUACAGAAAACCAAAAACCAGCAGAUAAAAGUCAAUUUCUAAAAAUCUGUACUGUUACAUUAGAACAUUAUUCAUUUUUACUUCUUAUCUUUUAAAAAUAACUAAUGGUAAAUAUGGACAUUUUAAGUUGGUUUCAAGAGUAUUAGUUGGCUAAAAUAAUGCCUUUGUAGUGAUAGGAACACCACAAACAUAGCCCUCAGGAGAAAUCGCAAUCCUACUAUCAGUUGUUAACAAUGUAAAGUAAUAUUUCAGAUUCCACAUGGUGAAAAAAAUGGGCACCAAUUAUUCUAAGGAAUCACUAGUCUUUAUAAAUUUGUUUAGUUUUAUAUCACUAUUCCUGCAUGCAAACUUAUUUAAAAAAAAAAUUUUUAUUUAAGCAUGUGGAUAGAUACAUCAGGAAUCUAAUAUUUGUUAGUUAAAUCUUGUGGUGAACCAUGUUCUUUCACAAGGAAUAGUACUAUCUAUUGUAGACAUACUUGGCUUCUUCCAGUUCCUCUGUGCGCUGAAUGGCAUCAGUCUCGUAUUUUGUCCUCCAUUGAGCAACCUCUCCAUUGGCUUUGGAUAGAGAUCUCUGCAACUCAGCCUUGGCUUCCUGUUCCUCUUCAUAUUGCUCCCUGAGAAGGUCACAGUCAUGGCGGGCAGAUUGCAAUGCAUGAGCUAGGGCGUUCUUGGCCUUAAAGGUGACAUGACAUUAUAUUAAUGUUAAACAAGAAAGAACAUUAUAAAUCUAUAUUCAUCAAUGUUAGGUUUAGACAAUAUUAGCUGAUGUUUUUUUUUUUUUUUUUGUGUUUACCUUUGUCUCCUCCUCUAGAUGACGUUUUAGUUCUUCUGUUUGCUGGGUGAAAGCCUGUUUACCUCUGGAUAGCUGAGAAAUUAGAGAGUCUUUUUCCUCCAACUGACGAGAGUAUUCCCCUAAUGAAUACAAUGAGCAUUACACUAAAUUAAAUCUUCCAUUUCUAUGAGAUACUUAUAUUAACAUUUAAUGCAUGGGCCAGUUACCAUUUUCCGUCUGAAGACGGGCUUUCUGAGUAUUGAUGUCAUUCAAUACACGAAGGUGCUCCUCCUCUUUAGUCUUCACUUCACUGUAUUGGUCCUCUAAUGUUCUGCACAUCUUCUCCAGAUUUGACUAUUGAGAAGCAAAAAAUUGAAUUUUAGGAAAAUUACAAACAGAUGUUAAUAUUUAUCAACACCUGCUAAUGAGCCACUAAAGUUGACAAUACAAUCUCACCAUUCCAGUUAUAUUUUACCUUAGGAAAGGAAUUCCCAACACUUUAAGGAACGAUCAAAAAUAAAUGAUUUCAAUGCCUCAAAAGACUUGUAAGGGAUUUGAAUACACUUUCCUAACAAAUAACUAAUAUCCUGAAAUAUUAUAUAUAUAUAUGUAUAUCAUUACUUAAGACCUGCUUUUUUUUGUUAACCUUGCAAUUUCAACCUAUCAUGCUCCACUUCAGUAUUCAGUUUGGUCAAGAAAUCACAGUUUAGGCCUUUUUUAAAGGUAAUAAUGUUUUCUGACUUUAACUGUAUUACAUUCAAAAUAUGAGUUCCCUUUAAUUGCUGUCCCAAUAUACCAGCCAAAAGUUAGAAAAUAUUAUCAGCAAAUUAGUGAUGCCGGAAUCUAAUUCUAUGGAUUUUUGACAUUUUUAUGUUUUUUGUUUUCAUAUGCUUAGUCCUUACCUUAGCUUUGGAGACAGAGUCCAUGUUACUGGCCAGGUCAUCAAUCUCCAUCUUCAGCUCACUCUUUUCCUUUUCCAGUUUCUGUUUCACACGUUGAAGGUUAUCAAUUUGUUCUCCAAGUUCCGCAACACUAUCAGCUUGCUUUUUACGGAGGGCGGAGGCUGUGGCCUCAUGCUGCAGUGUGGCCUCUUCCAGAUCACGUCUCAUCUUUUGGAAUUCUGCUUCGCGCUUCUUGUUCAUCUCAAUCUGAGCUGAGGUUGCUCCACCAGCUUCUUCCAGACGCUCACUGAUCUCUUCAAGCUCCCUGGAUAAGUCAGCACGUUGUUUCUCAGCCUUGGCUCUAGCUGCUCGUUCUGCUUCAAUUUCCUCUUCCAGCUCUUCAAUACGGGCCUGAAAUGUUGAUAAAAUAGUAUAGUCAGAAACUUGGCUUUGAACCUCAAAGAUUGACUGUUGUGUUUUGGUUUGGAAGGUACCUGUAGCUCUUUAAUUUUCUUCUGCAGCUGAGUACCCAGAGCCUGUUCAUCUUCAAUCUUGCUUUGCAGUUGGCUGAUUUCAAAAUCCUUCCUGUUAAACAAGAGCUAUAUGUCUAACACCAGUGAUACAAAACCGUUAUCAAUAUCAAUAAACUUACUUGCUAAUAGUAUCAGACAUUAACAAACAUGGGUUCUCUAACUACAUUGCAUAAUAUUUAAAAUAAUUCACAAAAAGCUAAAUAAAGAUGUAUUUUAAUUUGCAGAUGUCCAAUAAAUCAAGAUGUAAGCAAUAGAGGAAUAAGUGUAGUGAACAUUUUUGGAUAUAUUUACUAAAGUAAAAAUUCUGAAUUAAUUCAAAAUAAAUUUAAAGUUUAAGGCCAGAGUAGCUAAUGUGCAAUUAUAGUUGACUUAGAUCAUUUUUCCUGUUUGCCUAUUUUGUUCUUAAAUUUGAAUUUGACCUUAAUAUCACUUAUAAUUCUAACGUUAGCGCAUACACCUGUUUGAGUUGAUUGUCCAAGACAUAUAUGUUCAGAUUAACACAACAUUUUACUGUUAAAGACAUGAAGGGAAUAGAAAAAGAGAGGAGAGAGAGGAAAAAGAAGACACUAGUGAAAAUUAAUUAGGGAGAAGAAAGAGACUGGGGAGAGUAUAUAUUUCUUCUACAGUGCAUGUUUCUGGUUAGUAAGCUGUAGAUGCAAUGCCAGUUGUAUUACUUUUUAACUUUUUCAUCUAGCUGCUGCCUGUCAUUUUCCAAAUCCAUGGUAGAUUCCUGGGACAAUUUUAGAUCACCCUCCAGCUUUCUCUUGGCUCUCUCCAAAUCCAUGCGGAGCUUCUUCUCUUGCUCCAGUGAACCCUCCAGCUAAUGGGACAUUGAAAGGAUUUAUUGAACACUCAACACAAGACGGUAGUUUUCCUAAUUUCAAGUCAAGUCGAAAAAUUUACAACUGUCGACUAAGUUAUGUAAUGUACACCAUCAGUAUCACAAAACAAAGAUAUUGAUAUCGCGUAUUACUUGUCAUGGGCAAGAAUGUCGCUGAAAGUUAGAAUUUUACAUCACAUGUACGUACAUCAUCUACUUGUUGUUCCAGCUUGGUUUUGGCUUUGGUGAGAGUGUUGACUUUGUCUUCUUCAGCUUGCAAGUCAUCCAGAGUUUGCUGGUGGGCUUCUUGAAGGGCUUUCUUCUCCUUAGUCAACUUGGCAACGUUUUCAUCAAGAACAGCCAUUUCUUCUGUAAGGUUUUUCACCUAGAUUUCGACAUUUUGAUUAAUUUAUGUGUGUCAGGUGUGUUAUGUGUCAUUUGUAUGACUAGAAUCAAAGUAUAUGAAAACAAAAUCAUAUAAUAAUGUUUCCUAAGCAUUAUUCCACUUCGUAUUUUGUUUAUUUUUUACAUUGUUUAUCUAAAAUAAUAUUUAAGGCUUUUAAUAGAUAAUAACUUGGAUUAAUAUCUGUAGUGAAAGUAAUUUGCAUGAGUAGAAACAAACUGUGUGAAGAAAAACUAUGAUGUAUCAUUAGAACUAUACUACACAGUAGUUUAUUUUUUUACAAUACUUAUCUGCUGUAAUAGUUAAGGCUUAUAAUAAUUAAUAGGGAUUAUUCAUUACUUUGUUUUCUGUGGCAUGUUUCUCCUUCUCAACCUUGGCCAAUGUUAGCUCAAGGUCAUCAAUAUCUUUCUUCAGUUCAGAGCAUUCAUCCUCCAGUUUCCUCUUCUUGGCUGUUAGCUCAGCAUUAGAUUCCUCCUCAUCUUCCAGCCUUUCAUUAAUUUCCUUGACCUUUGCUUCCAGUUGAAUCUUGGCUUUGAUCAGUCCCUCACAUCUUUCUUCUGCAUCUGACACAGCCUCAGAUUC